rnacentral:rRNA from 2 species
UAGGGAAUCUUCCGCAAUGGACGCAAGUCUGACGGAGCAACGCCGCGUGAGUGAAGAAGGUUUUCGGAUCGUAAAACUCUGUUGUCGGAGAAGAACAAGCGGGCGAGGAACUGCGCCCGCCGUGACGGUAUCCGACCAGAAAGCCACGGCUAACUACGUGCCAGCAGCCGCGGUAAUACGUAGGUGGCGAGCGUUGUCCGGAUUUAUUGGGCGUAAAGCGAGCGCAGGCGGUCCCUUAAGUCUGAUGUGAAAGCCCACGGCUCAACCGUGGAGGGCCAUUGGAAACUGGGGGGCUUGAGUGCAGGAGAGGAGAGUGGAAUUCCAUGUGUAGCGGUGAAAUGCGUAGAUAUAUGGAGGAACACCAGUGGCGAAGGCGACUCUCUGGCCUGUAACUGACGCUGAGGCUCGAAAGCGUGGGGAGCGAACAGG